UCUUGCAUUAAACAUAACGAAACCAUGGGAGAGGUCUUUGGACUUAUCAGUACUUCUACCUUGGGGGAGCAUUCUGAUUUCUCGAGAUAUAAACUAUGGUCUCAAGGGAACACUGGGUCAGCCAGGGGUUGAGGUUUAUCUUCCAAACUUUGUUGCGCGUCAGCUUGGCAUCAUACAAAGCUGUCUAGCCUUCUUUCUAAUUUCCCGGAAUCAUUUUUCUUCAUGGAGAGAUGGGUUUACAGACACUGCGCAUUGUUCGGCCGUCACUCUUUAUUAUCAGACUCAGUUUGGCAAUUUUGAGAGAUCCGGCCUGAGUGCCCAAGAACCUGAUCACAGAGCAACUCUGACUUUCCAAGCUUGGUGGUCAACAUUUAUCAAGAAGAAACUUGGAGAGGACUUGCGGACAACCGAGCGUAUUGCCUUGUAUGGAUUCCCGGGCUUGUUCACCAACAAGGGCAAUGGCAAGAAAAAGGCACCGGUUGCCAAGUCGAAAUCCAAAGAAAUGUCCAAGGAAGGUAAACCCCAACUCAUUGUCCGACAAUCGCUAAUUUCUUUAAUUGCUAAAUUUGUUUUUUUUUUGUUUUUAUCUUUCAGAGCAAACCUCAAAGAAACGAGGAUCAAAGUCGGAAAGAGCUCUGCCUACCAAGAAGGUAAAGAAGUCACCUGACGUGGUGGAGAGUUCGGUCACGAAUCCGGCUAACAUUAUGGUUAGUGAAGACAUAAUUUUCAAGGGUGAUAUGGAUAAUAGCCAAAAUGCUCUAGCUGAAAAUCACAUCAUGUCUGGAGCUGAGGAUGCGGCUGAAACUAGUGAUGCCUCAAACAACAACACGGGCUCGGCCAACAGCGAAGGUUCGCCUGAUGAAGCACAGUCAGAAAACUUUGAGCAUAAGAGAGAUGGCCGCAUUGAUCACUCUUCGCAUCCUCCUGAAAGCUCCAUGGUUGAAAUUGACAUGGAUG